GGCACCAUAGCCAAACGGCCAGGCAAGAGUCUGCAAAACUUUCUAUGCGGGUUCGAGUCCCGCUGGUGCCUCCA
rnacentral:tRNA from 1 species